rnacentral:rRNA from 1 species
UACGUAGGGGGCAAGCGUUGUCCGGAUUUAUUGGGCGUAAAGAGCGUGUAGGCGGCCAUACAGGUCAGCUGUGAAAACUCGAGGCUCAACCUCGAGACGUCGGUUGAAACCGUAUGGCUAGAGUCCGGAAGAGGAGAGUGGAAUUCCCGGUGUAGCGGUGAAAUGCGCAGAUAUCGGGAAGAACACCCGUGGCGAAGGCGGCUCGCUGGGACGUGACUGACGCUGAGACGCGAAAGCGUGGGGAGCAAACAGG